GACGAACGCUGGCGGCGGGCUUAACACAUGCAAGUCGAACGGAAAGGCCCUGCUUUUGUGGGGUGCUCGAGUGGCGAACGGGUGAGUAACACGUGAGUAACCUGCCCUUGACUUUGGGAUAACUUCAGGAAACUGGGGCUAAUACCGGAUAGGAGCUCCUGCUGCGUGGUGGGGGUUGGAAAGUUUCGGCGGUUGGGGAUGGACUCGCGGCUUAUCAGCUUGUUGGUGGGGUAGUGGCUUACCAAGGCUUUGACGGGUAGCCGGCCUGAGAGGGUGACCGGCGACAUUGGGACUGAGAUACGGCCCAGACUCCUACGGGAGGCAGCAGUGGGGAAUAUUGCACAAUGGGCGGAAGCCUGAUGAAGCAACGCCGCGUGCGGGAUGACGGCCUUCGGGUUGUAAACCGCUUUCGCCUGUGACGAAGCGUGAGUGACGGUAAUGGGUAAAGAAGCACCGGCUAACUACGUG
rnacentral:rRNA from 1 species